GGGGUGAGGUGAUGGGGCUAUUUGUGACCCACGGAUUGUGAUUCCGGGGGUCGCCGGUUCGAGUCCGGUUUAUCACCCCA
rnacentral:tRNA from 1 species